rnacentral:rRNA from 1 species
GACGAACGCUGGCGGCGUGCUUAACACAUGCAAGUCGAACGGAAAGGCCCUGCUUGCAGGGUACUCGAGUGGCGAACGGGCGAGUAACACGUGGGUGAUCUGCCCUGCACUUCGGGAUAAGCCUGGGAAACUGGGUCUAAUACCGGAUAGGAGCCAUUUUUAGUGUGAUGGUUGGAAAGUUUUUUCGGUGUAGGAUGAGCCCGCGGCCUAUCAGCUUGUUGGUGGGGUAAUGGCCUACCAAGGCGGCGACGGGUAGCCGGCCUGAGAGGGUGGACGGCCACAUUGGGACUGAGAUACGGCCCAGACUCCUACGGGAGGCAGCAGUGGGGAAUAUUGCACAAUGGGCGCAAGCCUGAUGCAGCGACGCCGCGUGGGGGAUGACGGCCUUCGGGUUGUAACUCCUUUCGCUAGGGACGAAGCUUUUUGUGACGGUACCUAGAUAAGAAGCACCGGCUAACUACGUG